rnacentral:rRNA from 1 species
AUUGAACGCUGGCGGAAUGCUUUACACAUGCAAGUCGAACGGCAGCACGGACUUCGGUCUGGUGGCGAGUGGCGAACGGGUGUGUAAUGUAUCGGAACGUGCCCAGUCGUGGGGGAUAACGUAGUGAAAAUUACGCUAAUACCGCAUACGAUCUAUGGAUGAAAGCGGGGGAUCGCAAGACCUCGCGCGAUUGGAGCGGCCGAUAUCAGAUUAGGUAGUUGGUGGGGUAAAGGCCCACCAAGCCAACGAUCUGUAGCUGGUCUGAGAGGACGAACAGCCACACUGGAACUGAGACACGGUCCAGACUCCUACGGGAGGCAGCAGUGGGGAAUUGUGGACAAUGGGCGAAAGCCUGAUCCAGCCAUUCCGCGUGCAGGAUGAAGGCCCUCGGGUUGUAAACUGCUUUUGUACAGAACGAAAAGGUUUCUACUAAUACUAGGAGCUCAUGACGGUACUGUAAGAAUAAGCACCGGCUAACUACGUGCCAGCAGCCGCGGUAA